rnacentral:rRNA from 1 species
UGGGGAAUUUUGGACAAUGGGCGAAAGCCUGAUCCAGCAAUGCCGCGUGUGUGAAGAAGGCCUUCGGGUUGUAAAGCACUUUUGUCCGGAAAGAAAUCCUUGGCUCUAAUACAGUCGGGGGAUGACGGUACCGGAAGAAUAAGCACCGGCUAACUACGUGCCAGCAGCCGCGGUAAUACGUAGGGUGCAAGCGUUAAUCGGAAUUACUGGGCGUAAAGCGUGCGCAGGCGGUUUGCUAAGACCGAUGUGAAAUCCCCGGGCUCAACCUGGGAACUGCAUUGGUGACUGGCAGGCUAGAGUAUGGCAGAGGGGGGUAGAAUUCCACGUGUAGCAGUGAAAUGCGUAGAGAUGUGGAGGAAUACCGAUGGCGAAGGCAGCCCCCUGGGCCAAUACUGACGCUCAUGCACGAAAGCGUGGGGAGCAAACAGGAUUAGAUACCCUGGUAGUCCACGCCCUAAACGAUGUCAACUAGUUGUUGGGGAUUCAUUUCCUUAGUACGUAGCUAACGCGUGAAGUUGACCGCCUGGGGAGUACGGUCGCAAGAUUAAAACUUAAGGAAUUGACGGGGUCAUAGCUGUUUCCU